GUUCUUAAUUAAGCAGAUUGAAAUGGAUUAAUGUAAGGGGCAUCAUAUACAUGAGAUUAUGAGAACUAUAUAUAGUGACAACAAUUAUUGCCAAUACAAGAAGACGACGAAGAGCAUUGAAGGAUAACGAUGAAGACAAUAUCGAUGGACAGAGAAAGAAGCCCAACCUGCAUAUUAAAUGCUACCAUUUGAGCUCCAUGCAUCCACCCAACAAAAGGAUCAUAAUUGGACGAGUC